rnacentral:lncRNA from 1 species
ACCAGCUCUAAGCGGCUUAGCCAAUAACGACCCUGAACUUUGAGUGACCCCCAGGAAGCGUUAAUGGACUGAACUGAAGACAAUGUCCUGACUGAUGAGCCACAGAGGAAACUGAGACCACGAAGGACCCCUGAUGUGCCCAGAGUCAUGGAGGUGAUGAAUGGCAGAGCUGGACAAAAACCCAGGUCUUCUAACUCCCACACGAGAGCCCACACCCUCAACAUUCGCAGGGCGGCAUGUGAUGGACACCACGCCUGAGAAGCAGGAGCCUGGAGUAAGCAAGGUCAGGAGCUCUUCAUG